ensembl:lncRNA
AUGGCCAGUACUGGAUAUAUAAGGGGGAGGGUCGUUCACUGUGGCUUUGCCCUGUGGUGUCACCCCAUGUCCCCUUCCUCACACAGCUGUCUUCUGUUUGUCCCUGUACAAAUAGUCUCUAAGGUGGUGUCAGAAUGGUGUGCAUGUGGAAGAGGAGGAAGGUUGCGUAACAUUAGUGUGUUUGCGUAUGCAGUGGAACAACAUACACUCAACUCCAGCUACUCCCUCCAGGACAGUUACACAACACAAAGUGAAGACGGUGUGAGAGUUUUAAAAAGUCUUCUUACUCAUUUGCAUUUCUUGUAUACUAGGUACAAUUAGUGUAAGUAAAAAGAGAAAAAGGGAACCAUACUAAUGCCUCAAAUUAUCUGUUAAACGAUGUUCUGUUAAGAAAUGCAGUCAGGGAGUGGUGUAAGAUGCAUGGUUAGUUAACUACUAACGAACUAGAAUGAACACUACCAUUUCUCAUUUAAAAAACACACAUAUUACACAAACAGAAUGUGGAAGUGGAAGUGAGACUUGGAAUUCAAAAUGUCUUGCACGGAAUCUCCGUGGAGAAUUGUAUGUUGUGUGUAUGACUCUGUGGGUCUGGGGAGACCAUGUCAUCAUCAUGUUCAGUAGUCUUGGUAAGCAUAGCAAGUUAACAAGCAGCAGUGGCUAAUAAUAUACUUGGCCUUGGACAGGGUAGCAGGUAAUAUGAGUCUAAACACUCCAUAUGACCUUCAGCCAAAGCUGGUUUUUAAGGUACAGUGUGUGCACGUCUGUUACAGCUUGUACUUAUCUGCACAAUUUUUGUUUUAUCUCCUAGGUUUUACUUGCUGCAUAUUUUAUGUCACUUUUGAAUGCAUGUAAAUAUGCAUAUGUACUUGCAUGCUUGUAAAAAAGUGUUAGGUAGUGGGACAGGCAGGUCACCUGAAGUGGUGUGAAAUUUCAUUUUCAAUUCAUAUAAUAGCCUGACACUAUAUUUGGUAUUCCUGAAUGUUGCACAACACUUUGCACUAAUAGUGUCUAAUUACAUUAACUAAUUGAAUUUACUGCAAUGCACUUGAUGCCUAAAUGCAUGGAAAAUGCAACUCUGCAGGUCUGUUAUGUGUCAGAAUGGCACGUGUCCAUCAAAUGAUGUUAUAGUUUGUCCAGUUGAGUCUAAGAUUGGAGAGAACAUAUGAAACAUUAGCUAAUCAACCAAUACUAACUGCUACCAUAAACUGCAGCAGUACCUAAGAAAUAGUGAAGCAUUCGAGUUUAUUUUGUAACUGAAUCAAGUAUGAGGUGAUGUCAGAAAGGAAGACUUGUUUUUAUGAGUUUGUGUAUGUUUUUGUCAAACUCUCAUGACCCUCAUCUCUCUCUCUUUUCAACACUCCUGAAUCCCAUCCUCCGUCGCUCCCUCCAUGUCUCUGGGUUGUAUUGCAUUGACUCAGCAAAGAACACGAUCAGUGAAGUUGAUAUAAAUCAGACUUUCCCCUUUCAUAUCCAUAGUAGUGUGAGCCUGCUAAUGGAACCACAGAUAAUUAUUCUGACACCUUGGUUCAUACUGUUUCACUCUCUAAGUGUGUGACUGCAGUCUAGAUACUUACAUAAGUACAUAAGGAGUGUAUCGUGUCUACACUUGGCAUGUGUUGCAUAAAAUGUGAUAUGAUCGAGUGAGUGUAUUAAUGUGCAUCUCAGUGAGUCCACCAGUACACAGUGUGCCUGCAACUUAACACAUUAUUUAUAUAAUUAUGAAGGAUUUCUCUCUCUAAAUAAUUAUACAGUGCAUAUGAAAUACUAUUAUUUUUUUGAAGAUUUGGUAAAUAUUUUACUGCAUUGUUGAUGUGCAUUUAUGAAAUCCAUAGACAGAAGAUUAUAAUGCUGUGUAUUAUAGAUUAAAAUACUGACAGCAUAAUUGAACAUUUCUGAAAAGUCUAUUUCGAAGAAAAAUAUAUUAACCCAACAUUUUUUAUUUUGUGACACAUUCUUAUUCUCGCUCUCUGUGAUUGUAGCCAGUGGACUUUUCUCAUGAAAUGAGUACCUGACUGAACUAUAAUUGCUGGUUCAACACAUUUAUGUGGAUUUACUGAUGUUUGUGUGGCUUCAGUAAGACGUAGAAUGUUAUUCUGUGCUCAGGAAGCAGAUGUACAUCAUAUAAAGUGAUGCAUUGUUAUUAUUUGUGUUUCAGAUCCUGUAGAUACAGAAUUCUAGAACUGCCAAUCAGUAGAGACAGAACAACCAACAACUCUCCCUGAUGGCCACCUGCUGCCACUGCAAUCUGAAAACAAGAAAGGAGAGUGAUGUGAGGAUUAUGAGAAUGUGAUAAAACAAGAAAUGAGAUGAUAGAAUAUGUUGUUAAGCAGUUAUUAAUCAAUAAAUGAAUUAAAUCAUGAGGGAGUUGUGUUGUUGAACUCUUUUGAAAGAAUUUACUACAAAGCAUUCAUAGUUUCCAUAUCUUUUCUCAGUACAUUGGCUUUUUUAAAUAACUGUUUAUGUAUUUUAUUUGUAGGUAUUUAUUUAUAAUAUAAUUUUCUAAUCCAACCAGUGCAGUGUAAUUGGUCUUUGUGUGCGACUGUGCGUUAUUGCUCAGAGAGCAGUAUUAGUUUGUUUCCACUUGAGGCGCAGUUGUGUUCCGAGUUUACUACCACAACAUUGACACCAGAACAUGUCUGUGGUUCAUGAUUUUUUUCACCCUUUCUCUCUACAAGCAUUUUCUUUGCUUUAGAAAAUUCCUCAGCUUAGUUAAUAAAAUACAGCUUGCAAAACUAACCUUGACUCUGAGUAUAUUAUUGAGUUGUGACAACAGUAUGCAACACAGGAAGCUGACCAAACAUUGUAACAACGAAAAAGUUUGUGACUGUUCUCCUUUCUGGAAUGCUUGAAUCAUAUAUGAUUAAUAGGAGAUACUGGGUGGGUGCUUGUGGGAGCAGCUGGUUUAGUGUUUGUCUUUAGAUUGUUUAAAAAGUCCCAGGCCUUUGUUUAUUUGGCAAGGCUCAGGAUUUCAGAAAGGUAGUCAGUAGUUACGUAAACCACAGCAACUGAGGGAGAUGUGGUUGAGAGGGUCAUCCAGAUCCAUUUUUUAAGACACUGGCUUAGGUGGCCUCUGCUCUUUUUCUUAUCUUCUUACAAUAUCACAGGUCCUGGCUGAGGAUAAGUGGAAGAAAAUGUGUAAAAUUAGUGUACAUUCAUUGGGCUUCAUUUAUGCAACACAAGCAGAAAAGAUUUCUGUGUAAAUAGUUUGUUAAAUAUUUUUAUGUACAUUGUUGCAAUAAACUGAAUGUUUCAUGAAACAGAAAUUAAUUACACGUUUCAUUAACAAGCAGAAAGACAGAAAUACAUGAAUUCAGAAUAUAUAAUACAUUAUAUGGAUAUACUUAUUAAGUGGCUAU